rnacentral:rRNA from 1 species
AUGUCUGUCGACCCCCCUCGCCGCCGCCCCGAGACCAACGCACGUCUCUACAUCGAUCCCCUCUCUGGAUCGCCUCCUCCGCCGUUUCUCCAGAUCGCAGUCUCCGUCGUUUCUCCGGAUUGCUGCCACCGCCGGACACGUCUCUCCAUCGAUCCCCUCUCCGGAUCGCCUCCUCCGUCGUUUCUCCAGAUCGCCGUCUCCGUCGUUUCUCCGGAUUGCUGCCACCGCCGUCUGGAUCACCGCCGCCGCGCCCGCCGUCACACAGAAGACGCCGUCGGGAUCGCGUCCACGUACGGGACCGCCGCCGCUGACGUGUGCCGCAGGGACAUCGAAGGAAAGACUGCGGCGCGGCUGGUCCAUUGCGCCCUCGAGCGAGUGCGGUGGAGACAAACUGAGGGGCGCAUGGGAGGCAGACUGGAGGCACGGCCCACGGUGGGCUACUCUGAAAUGCCGCUCUUCCUCUCCCCAUGUCUAUGGAGGAUGAGGCAAUUGGAGAUGACGAGGAUCAUGCAACGGCUGGCGGGCGUGUGCCCUCUCGGCUUUGGGGCGAAGCAGUAUGAUGUCAAGGUGGAGUGGCUCAGAGCUCCUGUGUUUGACAACUCUGAGAACAAAUGUGAAAGGAGGAAAAUGGUCGCCGAAAAGCAGGCAGAUCUACACCUUGAGAGAUGGCAUUUUGCGGAUGACAAGUUCCUGAUCCCCAAGAACACCCUCAUGUAUUUGGAGUAUCUAUUAUGUUUCAGAAUUUCUCGAACUAUGGUCAUUAGUGGUCACUUGGGAUGGGUGCGAUCUGUAGCAUUUGAUCCAUGGAACAAAUGGUUUUGUCCUGGUUCUGCUGAUAGGACAAUAACGAAGAGAUUGCGAGUCGGGUAUGGUGAUGCCAACAUUGUAUUGGGGGCAGAUAGAUUUAAGUUCCGUCUUAUGUGCAUGAGGAUAGGAUCACUAUUAAAUCAUCAGAAUAAGUAUGCUUCAGUUGCAACGCACGGGCAAUGGGAGAAAUGUGAUGUCCAUUUGAUUUUUGGGAGAACACAAGUGCAACCUGAGGUCGAAGUCGUUGAUGGCACUACGAGCUGCAAUGGCGAUGCCGAAGGCGUCGAUGGCACUGCGAUGUUGAGCCAGAACCUCGUCGGAGACAAGGACGACACUUCGAGCGGUAGUGAGGAGUGGCAUCAUAGUCGGAGGCGAGGAAGAAGUGGCGUCAUAGUCGAAGGCGGGAAGAGGGUUGACAGGUGUGGGUGGGGGUGCGAUGGCUGGCUGAAAAAAUCUGGGUACCGGUGUGGUCCAGAGGGAUGGUUGAGGGUGGCGACAUGGGAGGGCAGGGAAGCAACGCGGCCAGGGGUGGUGGCGACGGGUGGAUCGAACGGUGUUGGGAGAAUCAAGAAAGAAAGAAAAGAAGAGCGCUUUAAGGGUAAAAAGGUAGUUGCCGAUGCAGCCGGUUGCAACGCACGGGCAUCCCAUCUUGCAACAUGGAAUGUGUCUGGCUAUUUAGUUUUUCAUUUUAUGCUCUGGUGGAACGAUAAAGAAUUGGUCAAGCCGGUUUGCACGGAUGGGUAUGAGUUGAGAAAGCAUUUUUUAUUAUACUUGCUAAAAUAUCGUGGGAAUGAAGCUAAAGGCAACUUUCCUGAUAUUGUGAAAGAAUUUCUUAAGCACAUCAUCUAG